rnacentral:rRNA from 1 species
CCUGACUGCUAUCGGAUUGAUACUAAGCCAUGCGAGUCAUUGUAGCAAUACAAGGCAGACGGCUCAGUAACGCGUAGUCAACCUAACCUAUGGACGGGAAUAACCUCGGGAAACUGAGUAUAAUGCCCGAUAGAACAUUAUACCUGGAAUGGUUUAUGUUCCAAAUGAUUUAUUGCCAUAGGAUGGGACUGCGGCCUAUCAGUUUGUUGGUGAGGUAAUGGCCCACCAAGACUAUUACAGGUACGGGCUCUGAGAGGAGUAGCCCGGAGAUGGGUACUGAGACACGGACCCAGGCCCUAUGGGGCGCAGCAGGCGAGAAAACUUUGCAAUGUGCGAAAGCACGACAAGGUUAAUCCGAGUGGUUUCUGCUAAAGGAACCUUUUGUCGGUCCUAGAAACACCGAUGAAUAAGGGGUGGGCAAGUUCUGGUGUCAGCCGCCGCGGUAAAACCAGCACCUCAAGUGGUCAGGAUGAUUAUUGGGCCUAAAGCAUCCGUAGCCGGCUCUAUAAGUUUUCGGUUAAAUCUGUACGCUUAACGUACAGGCUGCCGGGAAUACUGCAGAGCUAGGGAGUGGGAGAGGUAGACGGUACUCGGUAGGAAGGGGUAAAA